UACGUAGGGGGCAAGCGUUGUCCGGAUUUAUUGGGCGUAAAGAGCGUGUAGGCGGCCACACAGGUCAGCUGUGAAAACUCGAGGCUCAACCUCGAGACGUCGGUUGAAACCGUAUGGCUAGAGUCCGGAAGAGGAGAGUGGAAUUCCCGGUGUAGCGGUGAAAUGCGCAGAUAUCGGGAAGAACACCCGUGGCGAAGGCGGCUCUCUGGGACGGUACUGACGCUGAGACGCGAAAGCGUGGGGGAGCGAACAGG
rnacentral:rRNA from 1 species